CUGAAGCAGGCUCUGUGCUGACAGCAGAGAGUCCAAUAUGGGGCUCAGACUCACGAGCCAUGAGAUCAUGGCCCGAGAUGAAGUUGGACGUUUAACUGACUGAGCCACCCAGGUGCCCCCGGAUAUAUUAGUGUUAAAAGUGUUUGUGGUAAGCAAACAUUAUAUAUAAGAUAUAAGUGGUACUGUGUAAGCUCUUGUAACAAGUUACGAAAUCCAGUGCCUAUGGGAGCCAGCCAGAUGAACUGAAUGAAGAAAGAGAGCUGGGUGUGAGGCAAUAGGGAGUGAGGAGGACUGUGGUGAGGUGAAGAGCACACACUGUGUCUGAAGACGGUGGUUUCUUUUCAGCUCCAGCUGAUGUCUGUCACGUGGUACAAAGAGCCCAGUGUGGCCAGAGCUCCUGGAUUCACAAAAGAAACUGGAAACCCAGAUUCUUAUGAAAAAUUCCCUUACACAGGCAUUCCCUCGGAGAUACUGUGGGUUUGGUACCAGACUGCUGCAAUAAAGCAGACGCCUGUGGCUCAAGAUGGAGAAAAGCCUACUGUUGAGCCCACGAGCCCAGACGUGGUUACCUUUUUGCGUGGCCGAAGCUUAUCCCGCCAUUCCUUCAAGUUCUGAUUAUGGCUCUCAUCUAGGGCCUUCAGCUUCUGGGUUUCAUGUUCUACCAGGAGGUGACACUUUUCAUUCUGGAACAAAUUCCAGGCAGAACAGGAGAGAUUUGUGUAAAGAUGAAGACAUGGACCUGACAGAGACACUCCCAACUUUAUUAUUCUCUGAGGUUUUUGGCGCCCCCACUUAAGUUUUGUGCUCCAGCUCCAGCCCAGCCCCUGCAGCUGCCUGAGGCCCCUUGGAUACAAAUGUCACCCCCAUAGACUGCAGUCUGGGAGCUGGGCUCUGAAGCCUGCAGCACCACGGACCACCCUUAGAAGCUGUUUGUCUGAAGACUGGGAAUGGCCUAGUAAGUAUGUCCCAGGCUCCACAGAGGGAGGUGUGAGCUGUUUUUUGGGACCCAGAUGCCCUUCCCCAGGGCAGGCUAGGAGACUCACCUCCCUCCCCUUGUCUCAGGACCAUCUACCUCUUUGUCACCUACCCCCCCCCCCCCACCUCUUCAGCUGGGAGAGAAAAGAGAAGAGCCACAUGGGUCCCAACUAGGGGACUGUUGUUUUGGGAGAAGAGAGGGCAGGGCACAGAAGAUGUAUUGUGUUUGCCACCCGGCACCUGUUCCCCUGCUCUGGUGAAAGCAUCUCAGAUCCCCCUGGGCUGCCAGCCCUUCCUCCUCCCCUACUCUCUUUCAGCUGGGGUUGCUGAGCUGGGAUGACAUACAGGAAGCUGCCUGCGAGCCAAGUCAACACAGGAAAGGAGAGCCCAAAUGACAGAGAAGUAGCUCCUCAUGACGCAGCUGGAGCACGUGAAUCCCAACACGUGGACGUGAGCUUUUCAGAUACAUGAGCUCCCCAGAGUCUCCUCUGUUGCUGAAGUGGGACUGAGCUGGGGUUUCGAUCGCUUGCAUCCUAGAGCCCCUGGCCUCUGCCCAGCACAUAUUCACCU